UCCCCAAAACUAUACGCUGCUUCGGUCUGCAAACUUUUUUAUUGGGUCUUUGUGUUAAAAUUUUGAAAAUUUUAGAUAAACACUAUUGCUAGUAAUUAAUUUAAAAAUUAUAUGAUGGAAAGUAGUAAUGGAUUUAAAAAUUUUUUUAAGUGUAUACUUAUAAUAUGUGUAAAUAACUAAUUAACCCAUUUCCCCCAAAACUAGGAUUAGGAUUCAGUUGAUCACACAAAAUAUCACUUGGGAAAAAUUAAUCUCUACUGCAUUGUUGUAACAACGGCUGUUCCUUUUUUUUUUUUUUUCGAUAUAAUGACUUGAUUUCUCUAGUGGCUAUGGUUACGUAUCGGUUUGGAAGGUGAAAAUAACGGAAUCUCAAGAGUGGAACGGGUUUGAAGCAAAUUAAGAUGCGGAAUUGCCAAGCAAGACUCUGCCCAAAGAAAUGUCCGCUUCAAGCUCCGAUUUUGAUACUUCACUCCUUCCAAGGUCAAUACCCUCACCCGCUCUCUCUCUUCAAGAAUAGAAUCCCUUUGCUAUUGGUUAAAGCCCAGAACCAGACAGAACAAUAACACAAAAGAAGAAAUAUUUAAACCAACUCCAAGAAAAAAUAUGGAGCAGCACAAGAGGAGUUGUCGACAGGGGACAAAGAAAGUUCUGCUAGGCAUGAGUAAUAAAUCCGGUGGUAGCGGUAUAGAAGGGGUCGUUGUGUGGGGUGGAGCCUUGGCUAUUGCAAGCCUGGUAGCUUUUACGAUCAAGAAAGGCAGUAGGAAAGAUGGCAAUAAGGAUACAACGAAUUUGGCAGCUAUCGACUCUUGCAGGAAGGAAGAACAUGAAACUGAAGGGCUAUCUUUUAUCCUUCAGGAGGAUUCCUCUUCAACUCUACAUCAAAAUUCAUGGUUUGUAUUCAUAUCAUAAAAUUCGACCUUUGAAUUGGAAUUUUAUGGAAUUACUGGUAUGUUCAUGGGAUAAUUAGAGCCCAAGUUCUUCAUUCGAAGCUCUUCAUUCUAUGAUGAUAGAAACAUUUGCAUGUGCGAUUUCAUUAGACCGCUAUUUGCAUGUUUCUUUUAUGUAAAUAACGUGAUUUGGAGGGUCAUUUAUUUGCAGUUGCACAAACCAUGGAACAUCAGAGAUUGGUAUCACCCAAAUCGAAGCAUGCGAAUUGGUCUCGAUCCAAAGUUUGAUCACCUCGGUAACAAGACCCCAUUCCAUUGCUGCGUUUGCAACUUUUUUUUUUAAUUUUUAUAUUAAGUCAUAAGUAAUAUGUUCUUUUAAUUCAUAUAUAAUCUGAACCAAAGCACGUGCAACUCUGAAUGGUCGUAACUUUUUAGGUUCUUUAUAGCUUUCCGUGUUUUAUUCAGGAAGAGAAUACGAUGAUGCAGUGCGAAAGAAGGGAUUCUGUAAGUGGUCUCCAAGAGAUUCCAGUCCAUGAUACAAAGCAAGAAAGCAUCGUAAUGACUGGUGAUUAUGGUGAUAUUGGAGAGAUUUCACGACUGGCAAGUGAUCAUAAAUCAAUGAACGUGGUCGAGAAUGAGGGUAAUGACUCUUUGCUGAUGGAAACUAUUGAAAUAGAGAUAGAGGUUGAGGCAGUCGAUGCAGAUGCAGAGCAGUCGACAGCUGAAGAAAAGUCAACAGUGCAAUCAUCAGUGUCAUCAAUAGAAGAAAAGAAACCAUCAUUUUCAACGGGGGAAGAAGAUGAAGAAGAUGAAGAAGAAUAUUCACUCAUGCAAUCAUCAUUUUCAACAGAAGAAGAAAAUGAAGAAGAAGAAUAUUCGCCUAUGCGAUCGUCAUUUUCAACGGAAGAAGAAGAUGAAGAUGAAGAAGAAUAUUCACCAAUGCAAUCGUCAUUUUCAACGGAGGAGGAAGAAGAAGAAGAAGAAUAUUCACCAAUGGGAUCAUUAUUUUCAGAACGAGAAGACGAAGAAGAAGAAGAAGAAGAAGAAGAAGAAGAAGAAGAAGAAGAAGCAGAAGAAAAUUCACCGUUGCAAUCAUCAUUUUCAACAGAAGAAGAGGAUGAGAAAGGUGAAAAUGUUACAGAGAUGGAGGAAGAGAGCUCAGAAGAAACAUGGAGCUCUUCCACAGACUCUAACAUGGAGGCAAUUUGGCCAGCAGAGAUGAUGAGAGUCCUGUCACCUAAAUCCAAAGAGAUGAAUAUUAGCCAUCCAACAUCGGUAAAGAAAUCCGAGGAGAAAGACACAACAACCAAGAUAGAAGAAUAUCAUUACUUGGCUAACACGUUUGACGAAGGCGGCAGCAAUAAUGAUGAGAACAAGAAAGAAACUCAGGAGCUCGUCGUGAUGAAUGCUGAAAACGAACGUUCAGCAAAGCGGCAUAUUUGGUUUUGGUUAAGUUUGGUCUUAUUGCUGCUACUGCUUGCCAAUUGCUUCCUCCUACUUAAUUAUAUCUCUAACACUGUUUCCUUUGCUUUUCCUAUGAAAUAAGAACUCAGCACUGACAGCACAAGUGCUAAAAAUUAAACCAAGUCUGUACAUUUCGUUCAACUGAAUUAGUCGUGAACCUUAAUAAAUUUGCUAUGCCCUUCACGAAGUUGAGUUUAUAAAAAAGCUAAAAUUAUUGUCUAGCAACAAGAAACUAACGAAAUUGCAAGAAAUUUAUUCCUAUAAACUAUUCCUUUCAUUCCAAAAUUUGUUUCUCUUCGUUUUUUUGAAAAAAAUAUUUUUAGUUAAUUAUCCAGGUUGAAAUAAAUAAAUAAUAAAUUACCCUUUUGAUCUUACUCCCACUUUUUUAAAAGCUUUUAUGCUGAUAAUUAAUGUCUUUUACUGAAAUGAAAAUUUGACAUUAUGCAUUCAAGACGAACCACCGAACCAAUCAAGACAGGAGAGUUCAUGUUAGGCAUGACACCGAACCAAAAAGACAGACAUUCGCCAGGGUAAUGUUAAAAGAUGGCCAGCAGAAAUUGAUGUGUCAGUAACUGAAAGGGGAAAAAAAAGGAAUGGUCACGAUCCACAAGCGUAUAGCGGAAUCGACCAAAGUGCCGGUUCCUCCACUGGCAAAAUCACCGUCGACUAGCAUAGAAAAAAAUAGAUGGAUAAAUAGAUAGAACUAGGAUCCCAUUCCAAAAUAUUAUAGAUAGAUAAUCAAAUUAUUAAGGCAUCACUAAAAAUACAAGAGGCAACCAACGGAAGAUAAUUAAUUAAUUUCUAUAAGGAGGAAAAAUAGUUUAUUUAUGUGAAAUACUUAAGAAAUUUUUACAAGUGUUCACCCAUGGCUUUCGUACGUACAAGUAACUUUGGGUGUAUACUCAACUCUAACCUUUCUCUUUUUCUUCUAUAUCCAGAGCCAGCUUACUUGGCUCCUGCUUUAUUUGGACCGUUUAACAAAUAGAUGUGAAUAUUAUGGACUACCAUCGCAAAAUUUAAUAUAAGAACAGUAUGGGGUACAAAACUUCAUACCCACGCUUGCAACCGCACCGCUGGGUCAACUAGCUGGAUUUCUUGGAUCCAUUAUUUGAAUUAGCACUCAAGAAGCUAGUUGUUUUCCGUUGAGCUUGGCCAGCUGCAACCAAUAGACCAUCCCAAAACACCCAGGAUAAGAUCGACCCUUGAACAAGCAUUAACCUGAGAAAGAACAGAGUAGUUCCUUACAUCAGUAUGUAAUUCAUCACAUGAAAUUUAAAGAGGAUAAACUCUCUCUCGUACAUGCACACAUUCAGACGCAAUGGGGCAAAUAAAACAACAAGGUAACAGGAAUAUAAGAAAGAAAAUAAAACUAAAAUUAGAGAUCUGAACACGGUACCAAAAUUUCAAGGUCGGCUUCAACAUGAAAUAACAUGACAGCCAUUCCCCUUCCUCUAUCAAUCUCAGCCUGAAAAAAGAAAGUCAAGAUGUUAUGGAACUAGCAAACACUCAUUAGUCAGAAAUAAACCACUACAUGAUAGAUGAAUUUAAAUCGCUCACCACACAGGAGCAUAUGGUGAUGCCUACAGUUGCCAAUGCUGUUGUGACCUCAGCCAUCAUUCCUAAAUCAUGUUUGCAAAUUAAACCAUUUAGCCAAAAGAAAAUUUUUUGAUGUAACUAAAAAGUUUGUAAAGAGAUGGCAUGCUAAAUCUAAAUGCUCUGUUUAGAAUCUUCACAAAAGGCUCUAAGACUAAUACUAAUGCCUACAGGAACAGGGGAGCAUUACACCUACAAUUUUUUUACUACAAUCUUACAAUUAUCCAAUCACAAUAAAAAAUUAUGUAGGAGUCCACCAACUUAUAAAUUUUGAUAGACCCUGCAUAAUUUUGAAUGCGACUGAUUAAUUAUAGUGCAAUGAUGGCAGGUGAUAUGCUCCCAGGAGUAGCUUGAUAGGAUGCUCCACAUUUCCUUUGACAGUCGGCCAAAAAAGGAAACAAGUCAACCAGAGGACUAUGAUUCAGUAGUCUCAUUGGAUCCCUCCCUAAUCUUCCCAUCAAUGCUAUAACUGCCUACCUCCUCUAAUGGUUUGGAUUUGUAAGCCAGUUAUAAUAUAAAGCUCCUAUAAAAGAAAGUGCAAAUUAAUCAUGAUCAUGAUUACCAAAUGAUUUACCUCUUCGUUCUAUGGAAACAACAGAAAACCACUGGAUAGAAUGUCCUUCAUGAUUGUGCCAUGAGGCAAUUUUACUGGCCUGCCAACUUUCCAAACCAGGCAAGACCUUGUGUGGUGGAAUGUUUACGGGUAUCAUUUUUGCAGCACCAUUUCCCAGUGAUAACAAGUCCCCAUUGGGCUUCAAACUCACAUGCUGUACAUGUUUGUUAUGUUUCCCAUUUACCUUAGGGACCCAAAUACUUCCAUUUUUUGCAGUCAAGGCAUCUUCACAACUUCCUGGGGAUGAGAAGUCCACAACGUUCCUCAGGAUCUUCUCCCAUAGAGGUUUGCUCCGUCCUGAAAUAUGUGGGAGCUCUUCCAAUUCACUCUCCUCUUCAAAAUCAGCAAUGAAGUCAUUUACUCUAUCUGUUGUUAUUUCUGGAGUAGAUGGUACAACUUGCUCCCUCAAGAACUAAUUAUCAGUAGCAAUUUAGACAAUCAGAGCAUUGGCAAUUAAGAGAGAAUAAAAAUUUAUAUAAUUCAACUCCACGCAAUUCCACCUACUUUCGUAAUUUUGUGCUUGGCACUACGUGUUUUAGCAUGUUGCAACCACUGUUUAUGCCUUUGAAAAGCUGAUUUGUUUGAGAACGCCUGGAACAAGAGGCAAAGUUGUAAACUAUUAAAAAAACAAUGUUAUUGUUUGUGCACGAAUAACCUAUAAUAUCAAUUCUGCAACCUGGUGAACUUAGAAUAGUGGGAAAAUGAGAAUGCAUAUAAGCUUACUCAACAACUUGAUUUUUAAAUAUUUUAACCAGUAACCUAAGUCUCUUACUAUGCUUUCACAACUGAGAAAAUAGUAAAUACACGUAACCUCUUCAAUAAUAGCUCCAAUAACCUACAUCAUGUAACAAUACUCUGAAUUUGGUGGUCCUGACUGCUAAUUUCAAAUUUUUGAAAGAAAAAGAACCACAAAGAUUAUAUAUUUUUAUCAUGCAUAGGAAAUUACUGUUAUCCCACAAUUUAAACAUUAUCAAGGAAACAUCUGUGAUUAUAAGUUCAGCAAAAUGGAAAAGUAUUGGGCAAUGGUCAAUAUAUACUAACGUUAUAGGUGAUAAUCUCCACAACUUCUGCAUUGGCAAGUACAUGCAUGGGAGAAACAACAUUACCAUUGACCUGCAAUUAGAAGGUUAAGCAUUAAACUUGUGCCUUUUGUUUAGGCUGACACUGGAAUUGGAAAACUUGUGCCAUAAAAAUACAAAAAUACCUUCACAGACACCAUUUUGUUUCCAAUAUCAGUGUGUAUCAUGUAGGCAUAGUCAAUGGCAGUAGCCCCUCUAGGCAAAUUUUUAAUCUGUUCCUCACAAAAUAUUUAUCAAAACACUACUCCUCAGACUUUUGUUAACAUUUUAGAAGAAAUAAAAGCACAUAUUUUGGUAUGUGAAUUACCUCUCCCCUUGGGGUAAAGACGAAGACUCGACUACCUAAGAGAUCUCUGGUGAUGGUAUCUACAAAUUCUCUAGAACUCAUGUUGCCAACAAACUCCUCUUGCCAUUCUCGAAUUGCAUUGAGCCAACCAACCUGGAGAAAAGAAAGGGCUUCAUCCAUAAAAUUUGCAUUCUUGUCAGGGGACUCUAAAAGGUAUCAUGGAAUUCCUUUAAGGAUGACUCUUGAUGACAAUUUGUCAAGGAAAUUAGGUAUACCCUGAGUGCUAUGUUUGCAUUGUUAAGGCAAAUUGUCUUCCCUCUUGAACUUCUACCAUUUGGCACUGUAUACCCAACUAGUCCAGUAACAAAGGCUCCCCCACUAUAAUGAGCAGCAAUGCCUCUCUCAGCUAUCAAAUCCAUCUCUUCAGUUCUAAUCUGCCAGAGACAACAGUAAUUAAUCAAAUAUGUAGCAAAUUUUAAAAAAUCAGACUAAAUUACAAUUAGAAUCACUUGUACAUUCAUCUUUUGAUACAUUUUUAACAUAAAUGAGUCAAUAAUUAUUACUUCAAUAUUCAUCAGAAGAAUCAAUAUUGUUCAUAAAGAACUUAUGGAUACAAUCACAUUAAAAAUGCUAUUUCAAAUAAUUUAACUUAGAAAAAACUUUUUUGAGAAACAGCUGAAAGGACAACGAGAAUUUAAGAACCUGAACUUCCAGGCGAAACAUGCUUUCAUACAAAAAUGGAAUUACAGUUGUAUGAAGACUUUGAUAGCCGUUAGGCUUUGGUGUUGCUAUGUAGUCUUUCAUCUGUUCAAAAGAUAAGACCAUAUUUACUAAAAUAUCAAUAGCCUACUAGCAAAAAGAAAUAACAAAAGAGGAGAAAGAAGGAUACAUACAGCUCUAGGAACAGGAGUCCAGAUUCCAUGGACCAAGCCAAGGACGUGGUAGCAGAUCUGCACAAAGUAAAUGAAUUGAUAUCCAAAUAGCAGCAUUCUAAGACAACUAAGUAAUUUUGUAUUGGCAUAAAAUUUCACCUGCUGUGGACUAAAGAAAGGCCCAACUCCAACUGAUAGCUUUGGUUUUAUGAUUAUACGAAGCUGUUUAUACCCAACAAGAAUUGAUGUGCCAAUAAGCAAAAAAAUAAAAACAUGAGAAAAGUUUCAUUUUAGAUGUCAAGAUGGUUCAAGGAAAUAUCAGAACAGACCUGGGCAAUUUGGUUAACCUCACUGAUUGAACCUUUAGAUUUGAGCACAGAUUUGUAAAUACUGCGAUCCAAUAACAAAAAUUACAUGUAAGGAAAUUAUCUCUCAAAAGCCUUCAAAACAAGCCUUCAAAAGCGAUCAUAACAAGAGGUGAAGCAAGCCACAUGAAAGAAUUAGCACAGGUAUUCAAAGUAACACCAUAUUCAAUUUAGGUAUUCAAAAUAAUGUCUUAUAUCUCGCUCAUUCUAAGUGUCUUUGGGUCAAAUGGCAUCUCCUCUCCCCUUAGAGAUUCAGGUGAAGGAUAAAAUCAUGGAUCCUAGACUCCCAUCCCAUUUGCCACCUCACAAUAACUUAGUCAUGUGGUAGAUAAUUUCUUUGACAGACUCAAGCACUCAUACAUAGUCCCCACUUAAUCAGGAAAGGAAAAUAUUUGUGAAGUGCAGCAUGAAAUUUUGCAUCUUGUUCUUCUCAUUUGUAGAUUAUACAAAUAAAAUGCAGGUUGAAAUAAUCACCAAAAACUUCUAGACAUGAGUAUCGUGAGGAAGAGAACUGCAUAAAUAUCGAACAAAGAGGCAGAAAAAAGGCUCAAGGUUUCACCUGUAAGGUUCCUUGCACUCUGCACGAAUUUCAGUUUUAAGAGUCAUAAGGUCCAGGAAUUGAUCAUUCUCAAUCUUUUUCAUCAAAAUUUUGUCUGCCUAUUACCCAAAAAUAAAAAGAUAAUCAUAAUUAAGCAGAUAUGAUAUCAGUUCAAGAAAUUCAAAACUUGACACUUUCAUAAAGUAGACUUUCAACAUUGAACUACUACGUCAAUUAUCACAUAGAUAAUAUUUCUAAACUCUGCCUAAUUUACUUUUGAGUAAAAGAGGACAAUGCUCACCUCCACAAGCUCUUUUUCAUGUUCUUUAUAAAGGUCUGCAACUCUUCUCUUCACUUUGGCAUAAUCUUCAGGAUUUGUGUACAUGAAAGAUAAAUUUUCAAGUUCAGACUGCAAAAUAUAAUCAGAUUAUGUGUUAACACCAAAUAUCAUCUUGAAUUCAGGAGCAUAAUCUGGAAAUUGUAUUUUCAAAAGGAAGCAUAAGGAUGUACCUUGAUUUGAUACAUCCCCAACAAUUUCGCCAAAGGAGCAAAGACCUGCAACGUCUCCAUAGCAAUGCUGGACUGAAAUAAUACAGUAAUGUUAAAAAGAAUAAGAAAAUGGUCUAUUACUAGGUUAGGUUAACUCAUACCACCAACCUGUUUAUGCGGAGGCAUGUGUGAAAGAGUCCGCAUAUUAUGCAACCUGUCAGCUAAUUUGACAAUGAUGACACGAACCUAGAAAGGAAACCCUUUAGUUAGCACAUUACUUUCCAUAAAAACAUCAUCCAAAAAGGAAAAAGAAAGAAAGAAAAAAAUCACCUCCUCUGUCAUGGCUAGAAACAUCUGCCGCAGGUCAUCAGCUUUCACAUCUUGUACUGAAUCAUUUUCAUUCUUAUACUUCAAUUUUCCCAACUUGGACACCUGAUUGAGAAAAAAAAUAAAAGAAACCAAAUUAAGCCAAAACUAUCUAGAGUUUUGCUUGACAUGACAUUCAAGUUUGAACAGGCGAGUACAUUAAUAAUAUUUGUAGAAGUAUAAAUAAAGCACCUUAGUCUCUCCUUCUACAAUGCGGCAUACAGUAGGACCAAACUCCUCCUGUAUUCUCUCAAAUGUAACAAUAUUUGUAUCUUCCACAGUGUCAUGUAGCAAUCCAGCUGCAAUACACUCCCAAUCCAACUCCUAGAACAAUAGUUAAGGCAAGUUAGACUUCAGAUCACAAUGCAGAAUAGAUUUUCUAAUGAGAGCAUAUUUCUAUUAACUCACAAGUUCUCCAAGAAUACGUGCAACUUCAACUGGAUGAAUGAUGAAUGGCUCUCCACUCCGUCUCUUUUGACCAUCAUGUGCCUCAAAAGCUAGCUGUACCAAACAAAAAACAAUUUAUAGGUUAACCAUAAUGUCUGAGAGAUAUUUUCAGAAAGUGCAUGGUAACAAUUUAGUGCAAAGCAAAGACCAUACCCUGAGAGCAUUAUGGACCAAUUCCAACUCUUUAGGUGAAAGGUAUGAUAUAGUAGGCUUCAGAUCCUAAUGCAAUUAUAACAAAAAUCAGUAUAAAUUUGAACACAUCAUAGUAACGGCCUUACUUACAGAUUAAUAAAUAUUGUUAUUAGGUAAGAGGUUAAAAACAGUCAAUUGUACCUCCCACAACUUUUCAGGAGAAACUUUGUUAGAGGUAUCUGAAGAGACAGAUGAAGAACAAUACAACCGCCAUCUUUUACAAUCGACAUGAAGCAAGCUUGAUCUGAAGAGCUUUCCGAGCAGUACAAACUCGGAGACAUCCGUUGAACACCACCCUCCUACAUCAAGAGCCUGGUCAAAACACAAGAUUGGCACAAACAUCAGCAACUAUGCAUACAAGUUUGUAUAACAGCCACACACAUAUAACACCAUAAUUUGAAUUAAAGAUAAAUAUUCCAUCUAAAUGGCAUAAAACUUUUUCAUGUUUUAGUUGCCUAAUACUAAAUAUAUUUUCCAUAUAUUCUACACCUUAAUGUAACACACUCAAUUUUUUUUUAACUCAUUCACCAGCAAGGAACUUUUGAAAGAUUCCACGCAUUAAAAAAACACACCAACUUACGUUCUGAACUCACCAAAACAUUUCAUAUUUGUCAACCUGACAUUAACAACCCUUCCUAUUUCCUACAUACCAGUUUCCAAUCUGAUUGGAAGACAGAUUACAAGAAUCAAGGUCCUAGUCUCAUACCAUAACAUCUAUCAUAGUCAAAUCAACAAAAAUAAAUAAAUAAAUACAGUAAACUCAAUCUAACAUCAUCUCCAAUGAAAGUUAUGUUUAACAAACCUUGAGAUUCUAAGAAUCUAACCAAUCCUAAUAGGGAAAAGUAAAAUUAAACUUACGGAUUUGAUCCGAUUUCUUCUUCCGUGGCGAGCGUAGGCAAAGGAGGAAGAAUGAGAAGGAUUAGAAGUGCUGGCAAGGAAUCCAGUUAAGACUCUUGGAGCUUUCCAAGCACACGAAAGCACACUACAGUCAUUCCUUCCACUUCCUUCCCCUUUCGAUAACUUGCAUAUAUUCACGCAUUCCACGGAAACUGCAAUCAAUCAAAUGAAACAAAUACCAAACAAAGGCAAAAAAAUCAAUAAUAAAUUAAAUCGGAGUUUAAAAAAAGAAUUAAUUUCUUCACACUCUUUUGGCUACUUAAAAUUCGAACUAAGUCGAAAUUUAGUGAAGAAACAAGCACCGAAGAACUGAAAUUCCGUCAUUUUUUCCAAUAUUACUUAUUAGUAACCAAACAAGAAACAGAGUUAAUCGGAGAGAACAGAAAAUUAAAUAAAUUAUAAAAAAAAAAGGUGAAACGCACCGGAUAAGGAAGGAGCAGAGGCCAUUAAUACAACAGCAGAGUAAUCUCAUUGAAUCCAACUAAGCAUUAAACAGAAAAUCAUCCAACGCAUCAAAAAGAUAGAGAAAGAGAAAGAGAAAGAGAGAUAUCUUUUCGGGAACGGAGAUGAGAGAAAAGAAAGAAAUUGGAGGAUUGUCUCAUUCAGGUUUCGAAUUCGAGAAAGCGUUACGUAUUUUUUUUCUUUCCUUUUUUCGCUUUUUUUAUUUUUUUUAUUUUGGGUUUAAUUUUGGUUUGAGGGAAGGGGAGAGAUGGAAAUUGGUCCAGUAAGUGAUGGAUUUGAAGCGAGGAAGGUGAAGAGAUAAUCUAGAGAGAGAAACGAGAGAUAUUGAAGCCACACAAACAUACGCUUCCAUUUAAGAUCUUUCCGUCUCUCGUUUUGGUGAAUGAAGGAAAUUUUAAUUUUGGCUUUAGGUAAAUUUCUAGGUGGAAUUUUCGUUAUGGAUUUUAUUGGAGGCGACACCACGGACACGUAAUCGCAAAGCCACGUUUUUAUGCAUCUUGAUUGACGUUAAUACCCUUACUAUGCAAUAUUUUCUCUCUCUUUUUUUUUUUUGUGUGUGUUUCCCGUUUAAAAUGUAAUUAUAUUAAAUAAAUAGAGUUAUUCUUUUCAAUCAAAGAAAAUUUAAUCAUAUAAUAAUAAUAGUAAUAUAUCCUAUACACUACCUUAGAAAAGAAUUUAUUCAUGAUCGGAUUAAAUCAAGUCUAACUUGACUGAUUAUUUAAAAAUUUUAUUUAAGACUUUUUCCAUUUAACUCAAAAGAUUUAAUUUUUUAAAAUAACUAUAAAAAUAUUUUUAAAUAUAAAAUAUUAGUACUUAAAUACAUUUAAGAAUUAAAUAAAUAUAAAUUUUAUUAAUAAAAUAAAAUUUCAAAUUAAAUUGAUCUAAAGUUUUAAAACUCAUAUCCAAAAUCUGUCAUAAGUAAACAAGUGUACAUUAUAAGGUCUAAAAGUUAUAAGUACUAUAUUAUUAUUGCCAAAUUUCAACAUUUAAAGAAUUUUCUAACUGUAGACAAUAAUCCUAAUUAAUUAUUGUAAAUAUCAUUAUUCAAUAUAUUAAAAUUAAAAAAUAAUAAUAAUUAACUGAUAGUAAUCAAUCACUUAUUUAAUUUAUUUAUCAAAAUUUUUAAGAACAGAUAAUAUAUUCGGUAAAAAAAAAAAAAAAGAAAAACACUUUCGUAAUAGUAUUUUCUUUAAAAAUAUAUUUUAUUUGAAAUUGUACUAAAAGUUUGAAAAUUUUCUGUUUACAGUACCAUCAAUAUCAAGCCUUAUGCUUUCUAUUUCUUGGUCAAAAAGUGGAUCGAGUCGAUCGUAGGAUAAUUUAUUAAAAAAAGUUUAUCAAUUCAAAACUCGUGGUCGGUAAAUUAAAACGUUGGACGUAAUUCAUACGAAUUGAUCGGAUUGGAAAGUAUACAUAAGUUUGGCCCAACGAGAUUCAACCCGAUUGACGAAGCAAAAUUUCUUUGCAACGUUAAUUGUAAGUGGCGGCAUUUUGGAAGUUCGAGCACCGGCCUUGCAUGUUAAUCUCUUCAUUGGUUAAAGACCCAAAUGGAAAGUUGCUGAUGCUUGCCUCACUGACUGACUCAAUAGUUAUAGACUAGACUUUUUCACAAUUUUUUGCGUGUCUCGCAUUCCAUUUCAUUUUUCCACUUCUCUCUCAGCUUAUUUUUUCCACUUCAGGUUUUUCACGUUGCCUGAAAACUUUUUGAUAAAAUUUGUUAAAGAUUAAAUCAUAAAUUAUAUUUAUGGAAAAAAAAAGGAAAAAAAGUGGUUUAUAAACCUUCCUAAUUGGAAGCACCAGCUUUUACCGAAAAUUUUUAUGUUAAGGAUUAGACAGGAGAUAAUUUACGUGUGAAUUCUUAUAAAUGUCUAUGUAACCUGUUGUUUCUUUCUUUCUAAAUGUCAUAAAUGUAAGCAUUCGAAAUAAUUCACAAUAUAACAGAAAUUAAGAAUUUAUCUUUUAAUUAUUUCAUUGCUCAUUUCAUGCUUUUCAUCUCAACUAGUGACUUUUUAUUUAUUAAGUUGUAAAUGACUUUUUUCAAUUAUUUUUUUAAAAGUUAUAUUAAAAAAUUAUGACUUUUUUAACUUUUCUGUAAGUGGCGAAUAAUUUCUACACCCAAAAAAGUCUUUUGGAUUUGAUAUGGAUGAAAGGUGAGAAAUCAUUGACUACAAUUCUUUCAGGGUUACCGCAUGUUAAGUUGAGUCAACGAAUGAGAUUAGCGAAAGAGCCAUUUUGAAUGUAGUGCGGGAGUUCUGCAGCCAAAUUCUAUUGGACAUGUUGCUCACGUAAUCGUGUUAUCAUUGAAUAGAUAGAAUUGUGAAUUUUCAAGAUUCCAGCAAUGGUUUUUUGGGAAUCUUCUUCCAAUACAAUAUUCCCCUUCGUGUUUUUAUUUUAUGUUCCUUAUAGCAUUAUAUGGGAAAGAAAUUUUAAAGCCAUCUCCAUUGAACUUAUUUUUCCAGCAUUUUAUUGAAAAUGUAAGUACUUUUAUUUAUCAUGUAUAAAACCCAUGGUAGACAUAAGCUGAAGGACCGUAGUAUUUUUAUUUUUUAUGUCCAAUAAUGAUUUAAGUCUGUGUUGUCAAUGUUAAUUGGGCCCAUUUCUUGGUUCUAUGCUGGCAUUUCCUUUAAUUUGCUUGAUUCAGAGCACAAGAAUUUGAUGAGAACUUGGUGAAUCUGUCUUUCUUUGAAGUCAAUGAAGUUGCUUUUGUAAUUUGAUAAGAAAUUACUCGGAAAUUUUGCUUUUUUGUGCUAUAUGAACAAAGUAGUAAGUUAACAAAGAUGAUAAUGAUGUACAUAUUCAUUCACUCAUUCACAUGGAAAAAUCCUUGAUCAAUAAAAUUGUCGAAAAUAUCUACAACUUAAGGGUUGCAAAAGCUGGAAGAUGAUGAUGCACUUUGUUUCUCUGUCUCAUAUAGGCCAAAAUAUUGAAGGAGAAAAAAGGGGAAAUAAAAAUUGCUCUAGUUCUUCUCCUUCUUCCUUUGUCUCAAUGAUAAAACAAAAGAUUUUGUAGCGUUCCCUCGGUUUCCAUGUUUUCAUUUUAAACAAAUCCAGUUGCAACACUUCUGGAAAUCUCGUCUUCUCUUUCCAUUGUUACAUUGUGUUCUGAUUGCAGUGAUAUCCUUGGUAUUAACGCAAAAAUACCAGCCAAUUGAGCCUUUUUAAUUUUUGGGAACUGACCUGGGAAGAAUUUCUGGUUCCUCUUUACAUGCUACUGUCUGACGGAGACGUUGGCAUAUCACAAAAUUGCUCUCCUUUAAGAAGACAGAUUACCUGUUGAUUGGGGUUAAAUAAAGCGAGUUAUCACUUGUAUAGGCUAUAGCCCUUAAUCAAGGAAGGAUUCUUCAGCAAUAACAAGAUCGGCAGCAUAAAUGCUGAGUCAUAUAGGGUCGAGAAAUUGGCUGAGUCCUUGUACAUGCAGUUGCCGCAGCCAUCACUCUAUAAAUCCCAUGCAUGUCCGAGAACUCUGAAUCUUCCUCCAAUAGCUCGUAGAAUUUUCUUUUCAGCAUCAAUGGCCGGGCCUGCCAAAAUCCAUAUGUUAUUGUCUGGAUGAGAGGCUGGAAGGGAACAAGAAAUAAAAGAAUAUCUAAGCAGAAGCUGAUGAUUAUAAACUACUAACCCACUUAAUUAAACUUUUGUCAUCCUCAGGAGCUGAUAUUCGGCAAAACAGUCUCAAAAGCAGAACUCCAAAUGAUAGAACAUCGCUUUUCACCGAUGCCAUUGAUUCGUGGCUGAAUGGAUCCACGAGGAAGCACCUUUAAUAUCAACAAAAGUUGCUUUUAAUUAAUUGCCCAAGAAGAGAAACAAGAAAGUUGCCCUUAAUGAUUGGGGUAAGAUUUACAGAUCGGACUACAGUUAAUAUAAUCUGAAUGUAAAGUGAAUCUUUUGGAAUUUUGGGGCAAUCUGACUUCCUUUAUUGAAAGUAGAUGCAUACCUAUUCUUGGAGUUUGAUACUUGUUCAUAAUGAAGCCAUGUAGCCUUUCCAAAUCCAGAAAUCUAACAGAAUUAAGAAAAAGAACAGCAUGCAUGAUUAGAAUAGAAAGAUGAUAUACACCUAAAAGAGAUUUGGUUUUGAGAUAUUUCACCAUGGGUUGCAAAUCACGCCCUAAAAAAAUGUUGCAGGGCUGCAAUUCACCAUGUACAACGGGCCCUUGUGGACAUUCUUCAUGCAUGUAUCGAGCACCUUUAUUGCUAUGGCAAUCUUCAUUCUAGCCUGAAAUUUCAACUCCCUUCUUUCAGAACCUGAAAAAAAAAAAUAAAUGAAACCUUUUGAAAAUUAAUUGUUCGUAAUGAAUAUUUCAACAGUAGGAUUAUAGGACUUACCCCAAAUAUGUCUGUCUAACGUUACUCCUUGUAGGAGAGGAAAGAUUAAAAUUGUUUGGUUUUCACACUGAUGGUAACCUGUAAGAGCCAUUCUGUUCUUAAGGUGCAUAUACAAGGCCGCUCUCGUUUCUACUUCAAGAAUGCUUCUAGAAUUUGCCGCCCACCUCUUUACAAAUACAGAAUGAUGGUCAAAAUUUCCAAUAUAUGUGCUAUAGUUCUUGCCCUGGUCAUUCCUAGCUCUUGUUGAAAUUUUUUUGUUAUUUGAAGAAUUACUUACCAGCUUUGCUGCUUUGGCUUUUUUACCAUAAAAUCAGCCUCAGAAACACUUGCACUAGAGUUAGUGAAUGGAACGUUAGUUGUUCCAGUGGGCUCAACUUGUCCUGGAGUUUCAUUUUCUUUAAGUGGCUCACAUAUUUUUUCCUGAACAUUUUCUCUACUUGUGCUUGGCCAGUGGCAAAUGGACGGCUCCUCUUCUGAUGUUGAUCCUUUCAUCAGCUUCGGAGACUUGGGAUUAUGGGUUACUUCCAUGAGCAUUGAGCUAUCUGACUCAUCAUUUGCAAUCAAGUGAUCGUGAACUAUGGCCCCUUCCACAUCACUCACCAAUGAUAUAUUACAUUCAAUGCCACUCAUCCGGAAAGUCAAGUGUCUUGCAAAGGAACUGCAGAAUAAACAAAAAUUGACAUCUAGUGUGGAUUAACAUUUGGGGACAAAUAAAUCCUUGCUCUCUAGUAAACAUCAGACAAUUGUAGAUUUCCAGGCUAAUUAUUUGAAACUUUAGUGUAUGAUCUCCAAGCUAGCUAAUAUAUAGAGACAAAGACAUGAUUCAAUUUGUAGUACCCCACAGCACCUGAGAAACUGGAGAAAGGGAGAAUAAAGGAAUGAGGAAAUAUAAUAACCUAUCUACAAUAAUCCAAGUGGCCCCAACAUUGUUUGCCUCUUCGGUUAUGAUAUCCUUCGGUUGGAAGCCUGCAGCAAUCUGUGCCAGAAACUUCACCUGUAAUAGAGAAAUAAAGUUGGUGUAUACAAGUAAAAUUAAAGUAUUUCACAAAGCAACGUAGUCAUCAAAAUAAUGGGAAGAAGUUCAUAAUUAGUCUUAAUGCCUCAAUGGUUUUCUUUGAAGUUUAGUUCCUGAUAGAAAAAGAGUCUGAAUGUAUGGAGCACUGACGAUGACUGUUUCCAAUUAAGUUUCUCUUCAUGUUAAUUCUGUCAGAAAAGCUGAAAAUGUCAAAGAAAACGAGCAAUUGCUUUUUAACCAUCUUUUGUUCCAGGAAAUUUACUGGCUUACACUAGAAUGAGGGAAAAAAGCCUAAAAACUUAGCCAAAGCCAAGUCAAAGUCCGUCACUGGUGCUUGCAAUCAUAGCGACAGCUAGAAGACUUACUCCAUUGCUUUUGCAUCUUUCAUAAAAAGGCCUGAAAAUACUCCUGUAAUCCUCCUUCCUUUCGCUGACCUGUUGGCGCAGGAACAUGAUAUACAGAUCAUCCUCACAUGUAUCAUUGCAUUGAUGAUCUCCAUCAAAGCCUCUACUUGAAGAUGGUCCGGAUGAUCCAUCCACGGAGAGAAGGGUGAGAACCAAAAUUUCAUCUUCUGUAUUACUCACAUAUUUUGAGGCCCUCCACAGUGGCUCAAUGCCUGUCUUCUCGGUGGAGACUCUCUCUCCGUGUAAAACAACAAUCACUCUUUGUAUACUCUCCCUCCUUUUUCUCGUCGUCUUUGGUAUACGGCUUUGUGAACGACUUCAACAUUACUUGGUGUUCUUCUUAUUUGGCUAGCUGUCCAGAGAGUAUAUCCCUACCCAGACAUACUAAUCCUGUUGUUUAUUUUCAAGUAUAAUGGCAGCCUUCUAAAAUAGAACUACAUACUUGUUCUUGUUCCUCGUAUCAUUGUUCUUAUGGUGCCAUUCCCUCUGAAAAUAUCGGAAUACGAGGGAUGAGUUCACUUACCUGCGAUUUUGUCGUAUGGACAGCUCGGGUAACGUUGAAAUAUUGAAAAGUGGGAAGGGGGAUGAAACUAGGCUUAACUUGGAUGACUCAGAAAUUUUGCUAUCCCUCUUCUUACGAGGCCGAACAAUCGAUCUAGAAAGAAUUAUCAUUGUUUUGUUGGUGUGUGAGAUCCCUCUAAGGUUUGUAUAGUGCAAAUGGGUUAAUUUUUGGGCAUUAUGGUAUGGACUAUGGGGUUUGGGUUUCAAUUUGUUGUUUGGGGUAUUUCUAUGGGCACUUUCUUAAUUGAAUUACAUUAAUAAAAUCUCUUGCAACUUUCAAAAGAAAAAAAAUGAGUAAGAAUUUCGUGAAUUUAAACUUUUGAUGUUGCUAAAAGUAAAAUAAAAUUAUCAAUAAUAAUUGAGUGAUUCAUUAAUAAAGCAUUAGAUUUUUAAUUUUAAUGAUCAAUAUUCAGUAAAUUUUAAAUAUCAAAUAAAAUCUAAUCAUUGCUUUUGUAAUAUUUUGCUAGUUUCAUUCAAUUUGCAUAUAAAAACGAACUUUUAAACUGUAAAUAAUGAAUCAUGUAUAUGGUGGAUAAUUUAUAAAAUUAACUAUUUUAUCCUUGAUUAAUGAUUUUCUUCUUAAACUAAAAUUUUAAUUAAUUUUUAUUUAUUCCCUCAUCAAAGUAAAUUUUUCUUAAGUGAUAAUUUUUUUAAUAAAUUAAAUAUUGACUAUUAUUUAUUUAUUUAUCUAUUUCCUUAUUAAACUAUGAUUUAAAUUACAAACUAAGAAUUAACAUUUUUUUUAUUUUAUACCAAAUUAAUUUCAUGAACUUUAAUCAAAGAAUCAAUCACCGGUUCUUUUAUUAAUAACAUAACGUUCUUUGCAAAAUGUAAACACAUUAGUGAGAAGAAUUUAACUUUGAAAAUAUCUAAAAUUUUAUUGGGCAAAGUAAACUAAACCAUAUCUAUAUUAAAUUGGAUGAUUAUCCUGCUCGAAAUAUAAAUGUAUUUCUAAUUUAUCAUAUAUAGUAUUAUUUAUAAUGGGAUCUUGAUUAUUCAAAUCGGAUUAAAUUGAACAAAUUUUAACAUACAAUAAGCUAUUAAUCAAAACAUAUUAUGAUAAUAAAUAGAGUUUGGCCAAAGUACCUCACUGUUUAGCAUUUCCAUCGAACCAAAAUCAAAUUUAGGUGUAGUUUAAUUUGCAAAAUUAAGCAUUAAUUUUUCGCUCGAACUUAAUAAAAUAAUCUAGUCUAAUGGGCAUUUGAGUUUUAUUGGGGGCCCCGUUUGGAUGCUGUUGGUGGAACAAACAAUAAAAGCGUAGACCAGGGGACCACUUUUUCUAAGGAUAACAUUUUGAAUCAAAAUUCAAAAGGACAAGGUGUUGCAGAGAUAUGAUGAACUUUAGAAAUCCAGUUGGCCAUUCUGGUUUUCAGGUUGUGGACCCAUUGAUCUUAGGCUGACAAGUGUCAUCGUGCUUCGAUUGGAUACGCAUCAAAUUUAUUUUAUUCAUCUUAAUUUGUCUUAACAUUUAUUAUCUCGAUUCAUUUUUUAAGAGACGUAAAUAAGUUUUUGUCAUGCCUAAUUAGAUAUUGAAUUCGUUGUCUACAAGAUUUUAAUUCUUUCAUUGUGAAGAAAAAAACAUUUAAAAUUUAACUCUUUAAUCUCAUUAGUUCAAACACUUCAAUAAUACUAUUACUUUAUAUAUACAUCAGAAUUCACCCCGUGCUAUGCUACGAUAGGGGAGGUUUUUGUUCUUUUAUAAACAAUAAUUUAAAGUGUUUAAUUGAUAAAGGAUUUAUCAAAUUCAAUAUAUUUUAAUUUGUUAAACUUCAAAAAUGAUCUUUAUAAACUGUAAAUAACUCAAAUCUUAUAAAUAAACUUGAAAAUUACAAAAAAAAAAAUUUUGACUCAAAUCUAUUUGAUUUCAAGCAAAAGAGUUUCUUAAUCAGUGACUACAUAUAUUUUUGAAGUCCAUGUUUUGAUAAAUGUGAAACUUUGUUAAAAGCAUUUGCUAUAUAUACAUAGGAUUAUCAUAAUGUCUAGAUUCAUAGAUUUAUUAUUAGAUUUAAUAAAAAAAUCAUCAACAAUCUUUUUUAUAUAGAUGUGAUUAAUUAUCUAACCGAAUUUAUUCAUUUUUAAAAAGAAAUCCUAAGUUUGGCUUAGGUAUCUUCAAAAGGUAAAUUUAAUUACUAUGAAAUCAGCACUAGGUUUAAGAGUACGAUUAUAUGUGAGAAAGUUUAUAACACACUCACAAUAUCCAUCAAAAGAUAAUACCAGCUCGAUUUUCGUGUUAUUCAUUAAGCCUUAAAAAUUUUAUCAAGUAAUUAAUUAUUAGAAAUUAUCCUUAAUUAACUCCAAUACUUUUGACAAAAAAUUAAGAAAAUUCCCUCACUUUGAAAGUAUACAAAAAAAUAACUGUUUUUCUUCUAGAGGCUCCAUCGUCGGAUUAUUUAACAUUAAAAAUUUUUCAAGGAAAGAAAAAGACAAAAUGAGAAAGGAAUAAUGAUUCAACUUUCGAUAUAAACUUUUUUUUUUGUUUUAUAAGAAAAAAAACUCAUGCUUUCACAAGGAAAAUUAAUACUUUCAAUUUUUUCUUAAUGCAUUUUGAGGUUUUUAUUCUUAUGAAAAAUUGAUACUUUCAACUUUUCCUUAAAAAUAUUUUUCUUGAUAAUUUUUUUUUUUAAAAAAUUGGUACUUCAAACUUUUCCUCAAAAAAUAUUUUUUAAAAAAUUUUAUUUUCAAGAAAAAUUGAUAUUUUUAACUUUUCCUUAAAAAUCCCUUAUUGAAAUUUUUUUUCUUUCAAGAAAAAUUGAUACUUUCAAUUUUUUUCUUAAAAAAUUAUCAAUUUUUCUUGAAAAUAAAAAUUUUAAAAAAUAUUUUUUAAAAUUUUUAUUUUCAAUGGAAAUUGAUAAUUUCAACUUUCUCUCAAAAUAUUUUUUUAUUUUUAUGUUAAAAGGAAAUUUAUAUAUUCAACUUUCCUUCAAAAAUAUUUUUUUCAAGUUUUCAUUUUAAAGAGAUCAUUAAAAAAUUAAACAAUGUUUAAUUAAAUAAAUAACUUAUUUCAAUUUAGUCAAUAAAUAAAUAAUGGAAGAAGAAAAUAAUAAUAAUAAUCAAUAAAUAAAUAAUAAAACUAAUGAAAAAAAAAAAACCUUUGGCUCAGCUCCGCUUAGCUUAAAUAGAGCGAGGCUCCAGAAAUAGGAUCGGCUCGAAGGCGCGGGUAAUGGAUUAGCUCGACUUGGCUCAGCCACAGGCAGGGACGCGGGUUGUUGGUACGGGUCACGGUACGGGUCGCGCUACCUACUUAAAAACACACAGACCAUGCUCUUAGCUAAUACAAAAAAUGACAUCUUUUAUGUGGCUAUAUAAGUCAGAGUUUCAGCCUUCUACUUCAGUUUUCACCUUUACACUCGCUUUCUGCCCUUAACUUUCUCUUAUUCUCUCUCUAGAGACAGAAGAACUUAAGUCAAAAACUUUAAAGGUUUCUAGAUUCCAUCAUCGACGUCGUUAUGAUCAAUCACCGGUACCGCUAUACUCCACCAUCGUCCGACGAUCGGUCAAGCCAAAAUUCUCCCCAUCGUUACUUUUUACUCUCCUCAUAGCGAAUAUGGGCUUGUUUUUUCGUAAAUCGCUCCCUAAAAGCGUAAAUCUGGAGUCCAACUUACGAUUUUUUUCAUCUGUUUCAGCCUCUCCCACCGUCGGAUCUUCGCCAACUUUCAGUAUGUGACUUUUUCGUCAAGUUUCACAUCUUCACCGUUCAGAUCUUUCAGAGGUCACGCCGACCGUCGCUUGUCACUGCCACCACCAGGGAGGUUUCAGUUUCCCAUUUUUUCUCUUUUUUUCUUUUAUGUUUUUCAUCACCUUUAGUUUUUGACUUUAGCCUUUUUAUUUGUCUUCGUGUUUCCAAGCUUGCUGAUAUCUUGCUACCUUAUUGGAUAUUUGUUGGAUAUGGGUCGUGUAGCUCUAUGAUUGCUGGUGCAGUGUAUAAGGGUAUAUCCGGCUAUGAAAGAUGGUGGCAAAAUUAGCUUUGUGAAAAUUGGUGUUGCCAUCACCAAUGGCCAUCACAGUGCUCCAUUGUCAUACCGAACUUCUUUGAUAUCUUUUGAAAGCUAGGUUUGACAACCCUACAAUGCAAGACCUCUGGAAAUUUUAGAGCUUCUUAUCGUGCCUUCCUUCUGAUCCUUCUAAUUUUGUGUUGGCCCUUUGUGUUGAUGCUAAAACUUUGUUUCUGAUCGUAUAUUGUUACUAGCUGAAAAGUCAAGCUUGAGUGCUGAAUUGUGAUUCUUGUUGGGAACAUAUUUGCUAGGAAUUCGAUGUAAUUUUCUUUUCUGAUCAUUUACCCCUGUAUCUGUGUGUGACCUAUCUGAUCAACCUAUUUGUAUUCUUAAUUUUUUGAUUCUUUUAUAUUUUUGUGAUCUUUUUUUUUUUUGUCAUCUUUCUAUAUUUUUUAUGCCAAAUUUAUAGAAAAAUUUAGAAGAAUUCCUGAUUAACUCAACCUUUGACAAGAUUUUGAUAUUAUCAGAAACUUCAUAUUUUCCUUAAACAAAUUUAAUCCUUUUAAAAAUCUACUAGCAUGCAUUCACACGGCCAAAUUUUAUUUUUUCCCUUUUUUUCCUUUGCUAAUAUCCUAUUAUCUUAAAAUAAAAUAAAAAUAAAAAUAAGAAUCAAAAUAAAUAAAAUAACAAACAAUUAAGCCUAUUUGGAUCCCAUUGGACCAGGCCCAAUGGGCUUGGAUCCGAACUACAGCUAUCCAUUUUUGUAUAUUUUCUGUAAAAUAAGAAUUGUGCAAAGACAUAGACACCUAAGCAAAACUCAACUUGACACUUCUCUUAUUUUUGUUUUUUUAUUUUUAUUUUUUGUAAAAGUAAACAAAUCUCAUACGAAUAGAGGCUCAACGACUUUAAAAAAAUAAAUUAAGCUCCUCUAAACAGAGGCACCACAACUUUGAAAAAAUAAAUUGCUUCUCUAAACAGAGGCAUCACAACUUUUAAAAAAAAAAUUGCUCAUCUAAACAGCGGCAACCAAAAUUGCUCCUUUAAACAUAAGUAACCACGAUUUUGAAAAAUAAAUUACUCUUUUAAAUAGAGGCAACAAAAUUUUAGAAAAAUAAAUUACUCCUCUAAAUAGAGACAACAGAGCUUUGAAAAAUAAAUUACUCAUGAACAAUCAUGACCAAAUGAGUCAUAGAUCAUGUUUGAUGGAAUUUGUAAGGGGAAUUCAAAGAUUUACAAUUUGAGUUCAAAAUUCAAAAGUUUAGAUUCGCAAGAACCUUUUAACUUCUCAAGAAUUCACUGAAAUUUGAUUCUCAGAAUUUUAGUUUCACUAGAAUUUGAUUCAUAAAAUUUUAGAUGUGCAAGAAUUUAGAUCUGUAAGAUUUCAAAAUUCGUAUUUGCAACUUGUAAGACUUGUAUCCAACAUUUAAACAUUCUCAUUUAAAUUUUGAAUAUUCACAUCUAAAAGUUCAAAGCUUUUCAUUCGAGUUUAAAAAUUCAUAAUUGACAAAUCUGAGGGUCUCACAUCUCAAAGAUUCUCGUUUGAAAUUCAAAGAUUCACAUUUGAGAACUAAAAAAUUCUUAUCAAAAUAUUCACAAUUUUUUUUCAUAGAAUUCAAAAUUUUACAUGUAAUGAAUGUCAUGAUCAAUGAUACAAAUGCAACAAUCUAGAUUCUCACAAUACCAUAUUUUUAACUAUGAUUCAAAUAUCUACUGCAUAAUGUAAAUGCAUAUCCAAACCAAAGUUUCAAACAGUCUCCAAAUAAUAAUGCAAACGUUCCGCAUGUAAUGUGAAUGUGAAUGUCAUGAAAUUCUAAUCAAAACAUGGUAAUAUGGUUAUCAAGACUCCACCAUCUCACGUUUUUUCCUUGUUCAGUUUCUCAAUACUUUGAAACAAGUUUCAUCAAUUGAUCAUCACUUAACCAUCAUUCAUAGGCUUCUUAACAAAUUUCGUUAAUUACCCCAUAUCACAACUCACAAGCUCUUUAGUACUAGCAAAUUUAGCAUAAACUUCAUUAAUUGACCCACACUAUUUUUACCAUAAUUCAUAGGCUUCUUAGUGCUAGCAAUUUCAACAUAAACUUCAUCCAUUGACCCACACUAUUUUCACCAUAAUUCAUAAGCGUCUCAGUGCUAGCCAUUUUAGAAUAAAUUUUAUCAUUUGAUCCACAUUAUGUUCAUCACUUGAUCAUCAUUGACAAGCUAUAUCGAUCAAUUCAUCCCUAUAUUCAUCACUUGGUCAUACCACUUUUCUCAAAUCAUCAUUUUUUAGGUUUCUAUCAUUUUUUUAUUUUUCUCUUAUCACUUUCGAUUUCUUUUCAAAUAAAUGCAAGACUCUUUUAUACACAUUGUCAUUCAUUCAUCAUCCUUUCAAAUCAUGAAAAAUAUAAUACACUCAUAUAUUUUUUUUAUUUAUUCAGGGGAUACAAUAAUAAGAGAACACAAGGUGAAUUAAAAGAAAGGUAAUCAAUGAGGAAUGAGUAUGAUACAAAAACAAAUGAGAAAAAAAACAAGUUUGAGUGCAUAUCAUCGGGAUGAAUGGUAUAUCCGAGUAAUGAAUAUUCAAAUAAUUAUGAACAUUAAUCUAAGAUUUUUUUUUCAAAAACUCAUUCCACUCACUUUGAGCUUAUUGAACUUUGCUCAAGCGUCAAGAGAUCUUUAUAUAUCUUUGAUCUCUCAUCCAUGUGAACUGUUUAUCAAACUUUCAGCUCAAAAAUUUUUUCACCCAAAUCACCCUUUCGGGUUUUCAAUUUGAGACAUUUUUUUUCUCUCCUUUCCAUUUAUCUCUUUUUUUUUUUUUUUUCUUUUUUUCUUUUCAUUUUUUUCAUUUUUUUCCUUCAUUCAUUCGUUCACCCAUAUUUCACAUCAAUCUUUAGAGCAACCAAGUAUGAUUCUGUCAUUCCAUCAUAAGCAUACCUUAGCCCAACAUAUGACCAUUCAAUUUGAGCAUAUUUGAUCCAAAUAAACUUUUAAAAGUUAUAAUGUAGGUCAUGGUGAAAGGUCUAAUUAGCCUUAAUAUCUUUUUCUAAAAUUGUGCCCCUAUACAAUAAGGUGAACGAUUUUUAUUGAUAUCUUACUUCCUGAUUCAUUGCAGCUCUUUAGGCCUUUUUGGAUCAACGUGUUCUUGAUUCUCACUCAGAGCAUUGACAUUGUGAUUAGGCAAUGGAUUACCACUAACAUUAGGUGUUAUUGCUCUUCCUUGAUCAAAACUUAUCAUCCCAUCAUUGAUUAACCAUUGCACUUUAUGUUUCAAAGUAGUAUAAUUUUCAGUGAAAUAACCAAUAAUUUCAUAGUAGUAGUCACAGUAGGCUGUAAGAUCAUACCACUUAGGAUAAGGUGAUUUGAAUGACUCCACAUGGUUGGGGGUAAUUAAGUGGCUAUUAUAGAGCUCUCGGUAUAAUUUCAUAUAAGUCAUGGAGAUUGGAUCAAAUGCAAAUUUUUCUUGAGUAAUUUGUUGCUCUUGUGAACCACUUGCUAGGCUAACAGGAUGAAUUUGAGGUAUUACGAGAGGUUGAAUGUUAAGGCUGUAUAUGGGAAGCUUAAGGGCUAAAAAUGGACUGGUAUGUAGAUGAGUAAGAUAGUUAUGGUAUGGACUGGUAUGAGGUAUUGUUCACAGCAUGAUAGUAUGGAAAGUAAUCUUUAGUGGAUAGGGUUGAUAUCCCAUGAAUUGCCUGUCGAAGUUCACAACUUGAGUUUUAGUCUCUUUCUUUUUUGAUGCCUUCUUAGUUUUUUUUUUUUACUUACCAUUUUUAAUGGCAUUCUCAAUAAUUUUGCCUAAGAUAACCAUAUCAACGAAAUUUUUUGUUGCAUUCUCUAUCAUCUUUUCAUAAUAAAGAGAUUUUAAAGUGCUGACAAACAGUACUGUGGUUUCUUUCUCAGUUAAAAGAGGCUACGCUUGAGAAGCAAUAUCUUUCCACCUUUAGGUAUACUCUUUAAAUGAUUCAGUCAUUUUUUUUCAUAUUCUGUAAAGAAAGAUGAUCUGGGGCUAAGUCGAUGAUAUGUCGAUACUGACUAAUGAAAUCAUGGGUCAUAUCACUUCAGGAUUGAAUACGAGUUUUAUCCAGCUAGACAUACCAUCUAGCAGCAGAGUCAAUAAGGUUAUCUUGAAACACAUGUAUCAAUAAAUUUUCAUUAUUAGCAUGAGCUACCAUUUUUCUAUAGUACAUGGUAAUAUGGGUCUUUGGACACUUUGUUUCAUUAUAUUUUUCAAACUUUAAAACCUUGAAUUUUGAAGGAAUAACCACAUCUGGGACUAAAGCAAGUCAAGCAGCAUCCAUUGAACCAUAAAAAUCAGUGCCCUUUAUGGCUCAUAAUCUUUCUUCUAACAGGUUUAUUUUUUGUUCAACUUUUGAGGCUUCUAGAGUCUUAUUCUCUAUGGGCUUCAAUUUUUUUAUCCUCUAGAUCAUCCAAAUUAGGGACUGGUAUUGGUUUUACUACCUUUUCAGUAAAGAUAAGAUUUAUGUAACUUUGAUACUGAGGUAGAUUUAAAAUUGAUGACAUUCUAGGGUAUGUAUACUGUACUGGAUAUAUGAAUUACUAUGAUGGUGGAUCUUAUACAGAUUGAGCUUGAUGUGACCUAAAAUCAGAAGGGUGUAAUGGGUCAUCCACUUCUUAUAAUGAAUGGUCUUGUUGGCUAAUACUUUCUAUUAUACAUUUCUUUUUAUUUAACUUGUUCAAGGCCUCUAGAAUCCUGUUUAAUUUUUCUUCAAACUUUUCUUGGGCUUUCUCCAUCAUCUAAAGACGAUUGAAAUUUUUUUGUUCCAUUUGUUUGGCUCGAGCUCUUGUAUUGUAUUGGUGAGUGAGGUUACUUGGUGGAGCUAUCUUUAAACCUUUAGCACCAUAAUUAUGAUUAGAAAUGCUAUGCUAUGCUUUAUAUAUGAUAUGUUGAUGUAUGAAUGAAAUGUGGAUCUUCAUGAAUGAAAUGAGAAUGAUGCAAAUGAUAAUGUUAAAACAUGAUCAUAAAAAUGAUGCGUAGAAUGAAAUGAUGCAGAUGCACAAAAUCAAAUAAACAACAUAUGAAAAUGAUGCAUAAAGUAAAACAAUCAAAAUGGUUAGAUAAACAAAACUUGUUCCUUUAUGUGUCCUAGUUUCAGGGUAUAUCUAUCAUUGGAUGAGAAAGGCUCUAUCUUAGGGUUGGCCUCUUAAGUGGACACUAUAUACUGGGUUAGACGAUUUUGACCACUAAAGGUUCUCAAAUUAUUCAUUACAUCAUCAUCCAUCACAGACUAGUAAGAUAAUCCAAACCUCACCCAUCAAGGCUACCAAAAAAAAGAUUCAAUUUGAGUGAGAGUAUUUCGCUAGUCACUAUAAAGGCAUUAGAACCUCACGAAAGUAUAGGUACUUUAUUCCUCAUAGAGGGACAAAACUCGGGUAUUGAACUCAUGUUAUGCAUAUGCAUAUGAAUGACAUAGUUUGCAACAUAAAUAAAUAAAAUGAAUGAAAAAAAAAGAAAAAAAAUCUUUACAAAGAAUUCAAUUUUAUUAGGCUUUGUAGAUAACACGAAUUUUUUUGCUGGCCUGACUCUCGGCUAUCCUCAGUGGAGUUGUCAAACUGUCAUAACGUUUAGAUCCAUAAACUUAUCACUAAACUUAAUAAAAAGAGUCGCUACCAAUCUUUUUUAUCUAUGUGUGAUUGAUCACCUAACCGAAUUUAUCCCUUUUUAAAAAGAAAUUUUAAGUUUGGUUUAGGUAUCUUUAAAAGAUAAAUUCAACGUCUAUGAAACCAGAACUAGGUUCAAGAGUACAAUUACAUAUGAGAAAGGUUAUAGCACCCUUACAACGCUCAUCAAAAGAUGGUACCAGUUCGAUUUCGUGUUAUUCAUUAAGCCUUAAAACUUUACCAAGCAAUUAAUUAUUAAAAAUUAUUCUUAAUCAACUCUAAUAUUUUUAGCAAAAAAUUAAAAAAAAUUUCUUACCUCGAAAGUAUACAAGAAAACUACUGUUUAUCUUGUAAAAACUUUGUCGUCAGAUUAUUUAAUAUUAAAAAUUUUUCAAGGAAAGAAAAAGAUAUAAUGAGAAAGGAAUGAUGAUUCGACUUUCAAUAUAAACUUUUUUUUUUGUUUUAUAAGAAAAAAACUCAUGCUUUCACAAGAAAAAUUGAUACUUUUCAACUUUUUUUUAAAUACAUUUUAAGGUUUUUAUUCUAAAAAAAAUUGAUACUUUCAACUUUUUCGUAAAAAUAUUUUUCUUGAUAAUUUUAUUUUAAGAAAAUUCAUAUUUCAAUUUUUCCUCAAAAAAUGUUUUUUUUGAAAAUUUUAUUUUCAAGAAAAAUUGAUAUUUUCAAUUUUUUCUUAAAAAUCCCUUCUUAAAAUCUUUUUUUCUUUCAAGAAAAAUUGAUAUUUUUAACUUUUCCUUUAAAAAUAUUUUUAAAAAUUUUUAUUUUCAAAAGAAAUUGAUACUUUCAACUUUCCCUCUAAAUAUAUUUUUUUAUUUUAUGUUCAAAGAAAAUUCAUACAUUCAACUUUCCUUCAAAAAUAUUUUUUUUCAAAUUUUCAUUUUAAAAAGAUCAUUGAAAUUUUAAGGGUGUUUAAUUAAAUAAAUAACUUAUUUCAAUUUAGUCAAUAAAUAAAUAAGGGAAGAAGAAAAAAUAAUAAUAAUCAAUAAAUAAAUAAUAAAACUAAUGAAAAAAAAAAAACCUUUGGCUCGGCUCAGUUGAGCUCAAACAGAGCGUAGCUCCAGAGAUAGAAUCGACUCAAAGGCGCGACUAAUGGAUCGGCUCGGCUUGACUCAAUCAUAGGUAGAGACGCGGGUUGCUGGUACGAGUCAUGCUAUCCACAUAAAAACACGCGGACCCUGCUCUUAGCUAAUACAAAAAAUGACAUCACUUUAUAUGACUAUAUAAGCCUGAGUUUUAGCCUUUUACUUUAAUUUUCACCUUUACACUCGCUCUCUACCCUCAACUUUCUCUCAUUAUCUCUCUAGGGACAGAAGAACUCAGGUUGAAAACUUCAAAAGUUUUUAGAUUCAGUCACCGGCAUCGUCGUACUCCACUGUUCGACUAUCGAUCAAGCCAAAAUUCUCCCAAUCCUGUUUUUUACUCUCUUCGUCGUGAAUAUGGGCUUGUUUUUUAGUAAAUCUCUCCCUAAAGGCAUAGAUCUGGCAUCCAAGUUAUGAUAUUUCUUUCUUUUGUUUCAGCCUUUCUCACCGUCAGAUCUUCACCAACUUUCAGUAUGUGAUUUUUUUUGUCAAGCUGCACGUCUCAACCAUUCAGAUCUUCCAGAGUCACACCAACCAUUGCCUGUCACCGUCACCAUCAGAGAAGUUUUGAUUUCUCUUUUUUUCUCAUCUUUUCUCAUCUGUUUUUGAUCUCAUUUAGUUUUUGACUUUAGCCUUGUUAUUUGUCUUUGUGUUUCUAAGCUUGUUGAUAUCUUACUACCUUAUUGGAUAUUUGUUGGAUAUGGGUCGUGUAGCUCUAUGAUUGCUGGUGCAAUACAAUAGCUUAUAUCCGACUAUGAAAGAUGGUGGCAAAAUUAGCUUGGUGGAAAUUGGUGUUGCCAUCACCACUGGCCAUCACUGUGCUCCAUUGUCAUUCCGAGCUUCUUCGAUCUCUUUUGAAAGCUAGGUUUGACAACCUUACAAUUCAAGACCUCUGAAAAUUCCAGAGCAUACUGUCGUGCCUUCCUUCUGAUCCUUCUAAUUCUGUGUUGGCCCUCUGUGUUUAUACUAAAACUUUGUUUUUAAUUGUAUGUUGUUACUAGCUGAAAAGUCAAGCUCAAGUGUUGAAUUGUGAUUCUUACUGGGAACGAAUUUGCUAAAAAUUUGAUGUAAUUUUCUUUUUUGAUCACUUGUUCGUGUAUCUGUGUGUGACCUAUCUGAUUAACCUAUCUGUAUUCUUAAUUUCUUGAUUCUCUUGUAUUUCUGUGAUAUCUCUUUUCUGUCAUCUUUCUAUAAUCUUUGUGCCAAUUUUAUAGAAAAAUUUAGAAGAAUCCCUUAUUAACUCAACCUUUGACAAGAAUUUGAUAUUAUCAGAAACUUAGAAUUUUCCCUAAACAAAUUUAAUCCUUUUAAAAAUCUACCAGCAUGCAUUCACAUGGCCAAAUUUUAUCUUUCCUCAUUUUUUUCCUUUGCUAAUAUCUUAUUAUCUUAAAAUAAAAUAAAAUAAAUCAAAAUAAAUAAAAUAACAAACAAUUAGGCCUAUUUGGAUCCCAUUGGACUAGGCCCAAUGGCCUAAGCUCAUACCUUAUUGGAUCAGGCCUAAUAGGUUUGGGUCCAGACUAAUUAGGGUGUCUACAAAGACAACUGAAUAUAUAACAAUUAAUACUAAGUUAAUAUAAAUAAAAUUAAAUCAUAUAAUAGAUUAAUGAUGUUCUCACUUUUCACCUAUAGUCACAUAGCAAAAUGUCAUUGAACCAACAACAUUCAUUGCUCCUAGUGCCACCAUUUCUCUAUUUUGAUCUAAUUGCUGGCCUUUUUAUUGAAGUAAAAGUUCUUACAUUGACUAUAACUUCCUAUUAAAUUGACCUACCAAAGAAAAAAAAAUGGAAACAUAAAAGGUCUAAUUAUAUACAAUGUCAUAAUUGAAUUUCUUGGUUAGUGAAUAUGGAUAAAAAACCAAAAAAAAAAAAAAAAAAGCUUACUAGCAAUCCUAUCAUACCAGCCAUGACACCAAUCCUCAAACCUUAAGGAAGAUAUUCACCAGCAAAAUAAUUUUGAUUUGCAUAUGAGAGCAUAAUUCUUUUCUCAAUGUUUUUCAUCUACAUAGAUAAAAGCACACAACAGUGCCACUAUCAUUACUUAAUACCAAACUGCCAUAAUUUUUGCCAUUACUUUGAGCUAUUAAAUUGAAAAUUUGCACUAAAAUUUAUUAAAAGUAAAGAAUAUAUUUAUAAUUUGAAUUUUUUUCUACAUGUAUUAUAUAAAAGGAAAAAAAGGUGCAAAGAACAACAGAUAUCGAUAGAGCUAUUGUAAGUACCCAAAAAAAAUUGUUGUUAUUUUUUCCCUAUUUCUUAAAACAUGUGAAAAUUAGAAAAUACUCAUAUGCUUGUUAUAGUCCAUAAAAAGAAAUAAGACUUGAAGGCUCUUAUAAUUUACUUAACAAACAUAAGAAAUGACAAAAAGCUAACUCUAAUAUGAUAGUCAGCCAAUUCCACUACAAAAUAGUAUUAUAUAGAUUUAGUAACUAAAAUGUAUUGGGUGAUAACAUGAUAUUGGUUGAAAAUUCUUCUGAAAGUACGUUAGGACUUUUCAAAAUGAAAGAAUCAAAAUACCUUUUUUUUUUUUUUUUGAAAAAGUCGAGAUGGAAGGCUCCUUACUUUUAAGGGCAUUACCCCAUACAUGAUGCAUUACAAAAAUAAUAUCUAGUUUCUUUUGUAAGUAUUUUUAUGCCAAAAAAGCCUUAAGUUUUUGAAUGGCAAUUGUAACAGCAACUCAAGCCAUAAAACUGAUAAUUGAAGUAGGAAUAGGAAGUUAAUCAAAAAGCCUAAUCUACUUCUUUGAUUUCAAAAGUCAAUUUAAUGAAUUAUAGAAGUAAUAAAAGAACGGUACAAAUUUGAAUAGAAUAAAGCUAACAGAACACAAAUUAUGGGAAGAAAUUGUCAGACUUCCAUGAGUAAAAUACAUAAUUACUUGAGAAAAUCAAGAAUUUCUUAAGUAAUUUUAGCAAAAAACAAAAACAAAAGGUUAAAUCAAUAGUUAGACAUUCUUAAAAAUAAUUAGAUAAUAAUUAUAUCUUUAAAAAUAAUCAAAUGACAAUUAUAGAAUCAAGAAUAACUUAAUAAUUGUACAAUUAUAUCGAAAUUAAAUAAAAAAUCAAAAAUUAAUAAGUUACAAAAGAAAUAUUCAAAAUUUACAUAAAGCCUAAAUAAGAAAAGCAUCAUCUCUAUAAAGUAAAAAGUUACAUAAAAAAAUUUAAUUGAAAAACAAAAAAGGUACUUUUAAUCGGCACUGCUUAAGAAAUAUCUUGUGAAUAUCCAAUAAAAUCUUUAUUAAAAACCUUUAAAUUUCUUUGAAUAACAACCAAGUUACCAACAAAAAAAUAAAUUAAAUAAAAUUAUCAAGUAAAUCAUACUUAAAACUAAAUAAAAGAUUUUGAUAAUAUAUUCAAUAUUUGUAUUCUUUCAAAUCUUUCAAAUACAAUCUUUAAAUAUCCGCCUAAAACAUUAUAAAUCCAUAAAAUUCAAUUUUGUGACGAGAAUUUCAUAAAUUUAUGAAUUCGAAUUUGAAAACUUAGUUAUGGAGUCUAAAAAAUAAAUUAUCAAAGACAAAAAAGAGAGCGAGUGGGUACUAGGCUUUUUCGUUGAACUGCUACGUGGAGGUUGCAUAGCAAUAGUAAUUCGUGACUUAAUAUCUUUCGUUGCCUCGCUUUUUAACAACUCGAUUUAGCCACCAAUUGUUUGAUAAAACACCUUCAUUCACGGGUUGACCUUUUUUUUUCUCCAGGCUUUCUCUAUCUCUGUCGUACUUUAUGACGCACUCUUAACGAAGGCCAGACCGAUGAUAAGCGUCAGAUCAAAUUCUUCUUCUUUUAUUUCCUUACUCUUUUUCCUUUCGUUCUCAUUUCUUCCCCUCUUUUCGUGAUUUUUGAACCAUUCUUUGCCUUUUUUUAGUUUGUUUUUUUUCAUUUACCUUUCUCUUGAAUCUUUUAUAAUCUCUUAUAAGAAAUUUUUAUUUUACAAUAAAGAUCGGAUAAUAUCCUUAAUAAAAUAAAAAAAAAAUUGUCUUAAAAUAAACAGCUGUUGCUUGGAAAGGAGUCGGAAGAUAACUUUAUAAAGUAGUUAGAUGUACGUGGAAGUUCAACAUGGUAAAAAAUUAGAAUCUUUUAGAUUCCAAUCUUCUUACAAAAGUAAGAAUCCAUUUCAGGCCUAAAUUGUCCUUUUAUAACACAACACUGAAGGAAAUGAAAAGCGUUUGGUAAGUCAAAAAUCAUAAAAUUUGCAAUUAAUCGCUGAAAUUUGCUUUUAUAAAUAAUUUUAGCAAAUUAGUUCUUGUCGAUUCUAACUUCUAAAGAUAAUUCAUGUGUAUUAUUUUUAAUAUAUUUAUUGUCAUAUAUCAUUACCAUUUAUAAGAUUAAAUUGUGAAAAUUAUAUUUUUAACUAAUAAUUAAAAUUAUAUUAAAAAAUAAUUAAAGGGUGUCCAAUCUAUCUUUAAUAUACACUUUUUAACAGAUAGGUUAAUUUAAAUUUUACGGGAUGUAGACAUUGACGUUGACACAAAAGUCGGUUUAAUUUUAUGAUUUCCAUAUUUUUAGGUACCAAGAAGUUUUUUUUCUAGAUCCGCUUUCCGUUAUGUUCCAGUUGAUUUUAUGGAAAAUAUGACUUUCUCUAAUUACCCUUCUCCCGUGAACUGUAAAUUUGGUAAUACUUUCUGUUAUGGUAAGCGCUAGUCUACUGCUAUUGUUUCCUACUCUCAAGAUGGCGCUAGUCUGUGGGAAAUGUCGCUCUAAAAAAAAAAAAAGAGAUUAACACAAGAGUUUUUUUUUUUUUUUUUUUUUAAUUCUGUGCAAAACCAUCUGCUUUAUACAUAUAUAAAACUGCCCCGACUUCCUCAGAGUUCACCCAAAUCAUUGAUUUCUUUAUCAGAAUUAUAUUUCUUUUCUUUUUCAUUCACUUUUUAUUAAGUUACUUCACUCCGGAAAGUGUGAUCAUGGCGAAUCCUAAGCUCAGUCGAAUGCCAAGCAUCAGAGAGCGCGUGGAAGACACGCUUUCGGCUCAUCGUAACGAGCUCGUCUCUCUUCUCUCCAGGUUUUCUCCUCCGCAAUUCUCCACUUUAUCACCCUCUUCUCUUUUCCUUUUUGGUUUUUGAAUUUUUUGCGGUAUCUGUUUGGUUUCUGAGAAAACUGUGAUAGGAAAGAAAAUGUUACGUUGUGGAAUUUGAAGGUACGUGGCGCAGGGAAAAGGAAUAUUGCUAUCGCAUACGUUGAUCGAUGAGCUGGAUAAUAUUAUAGGCGACGAAGAAGCUAGGCAGAGGCUUACUGAUGGUCCCUUUGGCGAAGUCCUUAAAUCUGCGCAGGUCAUUUUCCUCCCUCUCUCCUCUUCUCUCUUUUUAUUUGCUAUUUUUUCAAGAAUUGUUAAAUUAUCUAUUGAAAAGGAAAAAAUAAAAAGAAGCAAUGUUUAGAUAUUUAUUUAUUUUUCCUCCACAAUUCACGAUUCAGUAAAUAAAUUCAUUAUUUACAAAUAAACUAUUUUUAUAAUACUUUUAGGGGUAAAUUGUUUUUAAUAUGCCUAACAAUUUAUUUGCUGUUGAUUUUUUAAUUCUUUUUUACUGGGUAGGCUUUUGAUCUCAGUCAAAUGGAGUCUUUAUUUUAUGUCAUACAUACUUGAUAUUUUAAACUGUUGGUUUUCGUUGUCUUGUUUGAUUCUAGGAGGCUAUAGUUCUACCUCCGUACGUGGCCAUGGCAGUUCGUCCAAGACCUGGUGUUUGGGAAUAUGUCCGAGUCAAUGUCCAUGAACUCAGCGUGGAGCAACUGAGUGUUCCCGAAUAUCUUCAAUUCAAAGAAGCACUUGCGGAUGGGGAGUAAGCAUCUUUUCUGUUCUUUGUAAUUCGUUUUUAUUUUUUUAUUUGAAGUCAAACUAUUUGGUUAUAUAAUGUUCUAGGUCAUAACUCAUUGGGCAUUUUAUUGUUAAUUAUUGGCUUUUUAUAUUUUUACAUUUCAUAGGGAUAACAAACAUUUUGUGCUGGAGCUUGAUUUUGAGCCAUUCAAUGCAUCCUUUCCUCGGCCCAACCGAUCUUCAUCCAUUGGCAAUGGUGUUCAAUUCCUCAACCGUCACCUUUCUUCAAACAUGUUCCGUAACAAGGAUAGUUUGGAGCCAUUACUUGAUUUCCUCAGAGCUCACAAAUAUAAAGGACAUGUAAGGAUUUUUUGAAGGGGGUUUCUUCUAAAAUCAUUUUCACCCUCAGCAAUUUGGUUUUAACAGCAUUAUACGACUAUUGUCCUUGUAUGUCGCCCCUGUCAUUUACCAUAAUUGCAAUUUCACUAGUUUUGUCUUAUGUUCUUUUAAUUUUUAGAUAAAAAAAUGUGCCUUGUGGUUCUUGUGGUGCGGGAUUAACAGAUUUAGAGAGGAAUAUAUGGGAGUAUUUAUUUUCUAAUGAAAAGCUUACAGCAUCAUGAAUUAAUGAAGGUCUUUAUGUAGGCAUUGAUGUUGAAUGAUCGGAUACAAAGUGUACCCCGACUUCAAGCUGCUCUGGCUAAGGCAGAAAAUCAUCUCUCUAGGCUUCCACCUGAUGCAUCCUAUUCUGAGUUUGAAUAUGUGUGAGUUUCUAUUUAUGUUUUCUAUCUGGAUACACAUUCAAAUGCAUACAUAUACAAACUGAUAGAGCACUAAAGCUGUUGACAUCUCUGUUUUUCCUUGUUGUAUGAAUGCAGAUUACAAGGAAUGGGUUUUGAGAGAGGUUGGGGAGACACUGCAGUACAUGUUCUGGAGAUGAUGCAUCUUCUCUUGGACAUCCUUCAGGCUCCUGAUCCCUCUACAUUAGAGACAUUCCUUGGGAGAGUACCAAUGGUGUUUAAUGUUGUCAUUCUGUCUCCGCAUGGAUACUUUGGGCAAGCAAAUGUUUUAGGAUUGCCUGACACAGGUGGGCAGGUUUGUAGUGAAUGCUGAAAGCAUGGAAAUGUAUUCAAAUUUUUGUUCAUCAAGGACUUGAAUCUUUGUUUUUCCUUUCAUGUGCAGGACUACGGCUUGUGUAUAAUGUGCUGAACAACAUAUAUGGAAAUAUCAUCAUUUAAUAUGUCCAUAUUUCAUAUUUAAUGUGCAGGUUGUUUAUAUAUUGGACCAAGUGCGUGCCUUAGAGAAUGAAAUGCUUCUUAGAAUAAAGAGGCAAGGACUUGAUAUUACUCCCAGAAUUCUUAUUGUAAGUAUACCUACAUCUAGUCUAGAUUUGUUUCUUUCAUUUUAUAAUUUUUAUAUUUUGCGUGUGCAAAUUUGACAUAUUUUUCCUGGCUGUUUAAGGUGACCAGGUUAAUACCUGAUGCAAUAGGAACCACUUGCAACCAGAGGCUGGAAAGAGUCAGUGGGACAGAACAUACUCAUAUUCUCCGAGUUCCUUUUAGAUCAAAAAAUGGAAUUCUUCAUAAAUGGAUAUCAAGAUUUGAUUUAUGGCCUUAUCUGGAGACUUAUGCUGAGGUAAAAUCAUUUUGACUAUUGAAUAUAGUCAAAGGCUAUUAUUUAUUUGGAAGAAAAAAUGAUGAAGAUAUUUCAACAAUCACUAUGUAUUUUAGGACAUUUAGUUAUUUGUAUAUUAGUUUCUAUCUUUGCUUUCGUCAUUAUUCAUUGUAACAUGCUUUCCUGGCUGUAUAUAUAACCAGGAUGUAGCAAGUGAAAUUGCAGCAGAGAUGCAGGGUAUUCCAGAUUUUAUCAUAGGGAACUACAGUGAUGGAAACCUUGUUGCAUCUUUGUUGGCUCAUAAAAUGGGUGUUACACAGUUUUAUCUCUCCUCUCUCCUGACUUCCUCCGCACUCCAUUCUUUCAUUUUUACUUUUGCUGAAGUCAUUGCAACUAUAUCUUCUAACUUUUGGAUUUUACUUGUCUAAAUUACACUUUUUUCAGUGCACCAUUGCGCUUGCAUUGGAGAAAACCAAAUAUCCAGAUUCAGAUAUAUAUUGGAAAAAGUUUGAAGAGAAAUAUCACUUCUCUUGUCAGUUCACUGCUGACUUGAUAGCCGUGAAUAAUGCAGAUUUUAUUAUCACCAGCACAUACCAAGAGAUAGCAGGAACGUAAGUUUUCUCCAUUUACUGUGGAAUACGCUAUUUAUUUUCUGGAUUACUGUCAGCACCAUUCAUUUUAGUAUGGUCAUGUUGUCAUUAAUCAUUAUUGUUGUUUUAUCUUAAAAUGUUGUAAGAACGCUGUUUAUAUUAAUGCACUUUAAUUCAGCUUGCUUUCUUAUAGCAAGGAGAUGAUCCCUCAGCUUAAACAUAUAUAACCAUUCUGGGAAUUGGAUUCUCUGUAGUUGCAUAUGCAAUGCGAACUAAAUGAUGCCCUUUACAUUAUAUCAAUUGGUUAUCGUGCAUGAUCUUUGCUUCAGGAAGAAUACUGUUGGUCAGUAUGAGAGCCACACUGCUUUUACUAUUCCAGGGCUGUAUCGAGUGGUUCAUGGCAUUGAUGUUUUUGAUCCAAAGUUCAAUAUUGUUUCUCCAGGGGCAGAUAUGUGCAUUUAUUUCCCAUACUCUGAUAAGGAAAAUAGACUUACGGCUCUCCAUGGCUCAAUAGAAGAAUUUUGGUAUGACCCUGAACAGAAUGAUGAACACAUGUGAGUUUCUUUGUUCUUUUUUUUCUUUACCUUAUAUAAUAAUGUCUACAGCAGCAUAAUCUUUGAAUCAAAUAACAUUAUAAUCUGCUUCUUCUACCACAGUUUUCUAUUUAUUGAACAAUUAUAACAUCACAAGUUUCUCUAGAUAGUUACAUGAAAGAACAAGGCCAAAUCAAUUUUCUUUUACAAUAGGAUGCCAGAAUGACAGGAAAUUUUCCAUUUUAUGUGUAUAAAUCAUAUGUCUGCAUUUUUUAGUUUUAGAUAUUCUCAAAUUUUGCUUGCAGAUAAUGACUACUAGCAGUAAAAUUGCUGCUCAAAUGAGACAGAUGUUUAACCAGAAUUGCAACCCAAACUUUUCUUCAUUGUGUUUAGGAUAGAAGACAAGAUAGUAAAAUGAAAUUGCUAAGUUGCAUAGAGGCUGAACUAAUUUUUAAGCACUUCUAAAAUUUCCUUCCCUUUUUCCUUUUCCUAUAUUUGAGUCACAUAAAACCCUGAAAUUUAUUGAAUAUAGUGAAGAAUGUGGGUUGUCAAGAAUAAGAAAUUACUAUUUAAGGAUAUCUACUUGCAAGAAUCUUAAUAGCUGACAUUGAAUGGAUGACUUGGCUUUCUACUGUAAGACUAUAAUGCAAUUGUGAGAUUUCUUAGGUAAUUAAUACACAGUUGAGGCGAAUUUACCUUGCUGUAAAAAUUUUCGACUUAAGUAAUGAUAAUUAUUGUCAGUUUGCUAAGUUUUUGAUGCAAGUUUCAUCUUUAAUAUGCAGUGGUACUUUGAGUGAUCAGUCGAAGCCCAUAAUCUUUUCCAUGGCAAGGCUGGAUCGAGUAAAAACAUGACUGGAUUGGUAGAGUGCUAUGGUAAAAAUACCAAGCUGAGGGAAUUGGCAAACCUUGUUGUUGUUGCUGGUUACAUUGAUGUAACUAAGUCCAAAGACAGAGAAGAGAUACAAGAAAUUGAAAAGAUGCAUGGCCUUUUGAAAACGUAUAAAUUGGAUGGUCAAUUUCGUUGGAUUGCAGCCCAGACAAAUCGAGCUCGCAAUGGUGAGCUCUAUCGCUACAUAGCUGACACAAAAGGUAUUUUUGUACAGGUAUGUGCCCUUUAGUGAUAUGCUUCUGAUGUAUUACAACCACUUGAGCAUUCUAAUUACUUCACCUUUCUCAUUUAUUUCAGCCUGCCUUCUAUGAAGCCUUUGGACUUACAGUGGUGGAAGCCAUGACUUGUGGCCUUCCAACGUUUGCCACAUGCCAUGGUGGUCCCGCAGAGAUUAUUGAACAUGGUAUAUCAGGAUUCCAUAUUGAUCCAUAUCACCCGGAUCAGACUGGUCAACUCCUUGCAGAUUUUUUUCAACGUUGCAAGGAGGAUCCAAGCCAAUGGACUAAAAUAUCUGAUGGCGGGCUCAAGAGAAUUUAUGAAAGGUUUGCUUUUUCCAAUUUACAUCAAUACUUCUAUUCAGUCUACCAUCGCUGUGGAGCUCAAGCAAAGAUUUUGAAAUUGUAGGUAUACGUGGAAGAUUUAUUCUGAAAGGCUGAUGACAUUGGCCGGGGUAUAUGGUUUCUGGAAGUAUGCCUAAAACUUGAGAGACGUGAGACCAGAAGAUAUCUUGAAAUGUUCUACAUCCUCAAGUUUCUUGAUUUGGUAAGCGCACUUUGAUCCAUCGUUAAAAUUAUUGGAGUGAUGUUGCCACUCCGUUCCUAACCUCCUUAAAAUUCCCAGAAUGCUGUUAGAUUAUAACCGUGCUUAAUUCUGCUUCGUUGUUUCAACUAACUGUUUACGUAUAGGAUUUAAUCAUGCUUGUAUUCCUUUCAGGUAAAGUCUGUUCCUUUGGCCAGUGAUGAUUAAAGCUUAAUCCCUUGCUGCUUCAGAAUCUGGGUAACCCAUGCAACAGUGACUUCACACAAUAAUGAUAGCAUAUCUAUAUAUAUAUAUAUAUAUAUAUAUAUAUCAAGGAUGAAGAAUGUACAUAAAUAUGUGCGAGUCUUCCUGCCUAUGACGCUUUUGUGUUUAACUUUGACUUAUGUUGGAAGUAAAAUCAUGUUUCAACCUGUAGUAAAAUAAAUUAGAAUAUAUUGGCUUGGUCUGCCUGCCCCUAGAAAUCUUCUUGAUGAUACGUAUUUCAAGCUAACAAUACCGGCCGAGGUUUUUGAACUACUUAUAAAAAAAAAAAAAAAAAACUGUAGGAAAGAUGGAACACAUUAAGAGAACCAAAGAUAAUUGUCCAGAAUCCAUUUUCACAGUAUAUUAUGUUGACGGCAUUUAUUUUUAAGCCUUUUAAGGUGUCGCAAGAAUGAUGCGGGGUGUUUGGUCGAAAGACUUUCGAGUGGUAGCUCCUUUCUAUUUGACCGUUACGAGAGCCCUCUAUAUGGAUGUUGGUCGGUAGCUUUUCAGAAACAUUAUACGGGCGACGGUGGGAAUCUCUGUUAUUAAGGUUUUGGACUUCGGUUCCUACCAUCUAACCAGUUUCACCUAGGUUGAGGGAGCCGAGGUGGGUGUUGGGGUUAUCCACUAGACUUAUCUCAGUACCGAGCUCCAGAUACACCUGACAACCUCUAAGAAAAAACCAGCUUUUUUGACCACGACUCACGUCCCCAACAGUGUCACGUGUUCAAACAAAAUCCCUUUCUUGAUCUCCCUUCCUUCCCAUCACCUUUAACCACACAUUUUCAACGGUCAAAAUGCUCGUUUCCCAUUAAAGCUACAACGGUAAAAUAUUCAAUUUCUACUAAAAGAGCCACAUUUAUGCUGAACUAGUUAGCUUCUCCAGCCUCUCCUGUCGUCUAUUGUCUGUUAUUUCUUGGUUUCAUUCAAUGGAAG
rnacentral:lncRNA from 1 species